rnacentral:rRNA from 1 species
ACGGCUACCUUGUUACGACUUCACCCCAGUCAUCGGCCACACCGUGGCAAGCGCCCUCCCGAAGGUUAAGCUACCUGCUUCUGGUGCAACAAACUCCCAUGGUGUGACGGGCGGUGUGUACAAGGCCCGGGAACGUAUUCACCGCAGCAAUGCUGAUCUGCGAUUACUAGCGAUUCAGACUUCAUGGAGUCGAGUUGCAGACUCCAAUCCGGACUGAGAUAGGGUUUCUGGGAUUGGCUCACCCUCGCGGGUUUGCAGCCCUCUGUCCCCACCAUUGU